CUGAACCGGCACCAGGAGCUCGCGGAGUCCCAAGCAGCCACUAGCCUGGCUUGGGGGCGAGAGUGAGGAGUCCCAGCGAGGGGUUCUGCACUCUCCUAGUCCCCAGCCAACACCAAGCUCAGGCUUAUUUGCAUUUAAAGAGAAAGGUAGGGAGAAAACAGUGGGCGGGUCAAAGCACGCCUUCCCACAUUGGCCAUUGGACCACACGCCUGCCAAUCAGGGCGCGGACGCCCCACCCUGUGGCUGUGGAGUUGGGGGGAAGGGGGGCAUGGAGAGCUGCCCUGAGUCUGGGGAAGGGGAGCCAGUGCAGGAGGUGACUGGAGCCACAGCGGCGGCAGAAGCAGCGGUGGCUGCUCUCUCAGCCACGGCAGCCGAGGAUACAGCCUGGGCCAAGGCGGCGCAGCAGACAAUAACCGGCUUGGAAAACGAACCGGGCUGGGCCCAACUAUGAUGCUUCCUGACUGAUGAUGUUAUAAUAGUGCCCAGAAGCCAGAAGGCUGCAUUUUCAGCUGAACAUACCUGAGUUGUCCCCAUCACCAUGGAGACCCGAAAAGAUGAAGCUACUCAGGCCAAGGGAGCAGCAGCCUCUGUGGAUACCCAGAACCAAGGGUCAGAGAAAGGAGCCAAGAACAAGGCAGCUGAGACAACAGAAGGGCCAGGGUCAGAGCCACCCUCAUCUGGCCCAGGUAGGCUGAAGAAAACUGCCAUGAAACUCUUUGGUGGCAAGAAGGGCAUCUGUACCCUGCCUAGUUUCUUUGGAGGGGGACGGAGCAAAGGUUCUGGGAAAAGCAGCUCCAAGAAGGGUAUUAGCAAGAGCAGGACCCAUGAUGGCUUGAGUGAAGCAGCCCGUAGCCAAGAAGACAUUGUCAGUGAAGGAACUGGCCUCUCCUUACCUUUGCCUGAGUCACCCUGCCAACUUCCCAGUUCUCAGAGUGCCCAUGGGGCUUUGGAGACAGGUUCCAAAUGCAAGAUGUCUGUGGCUGGAGCCAUAGAGAAAGCUGGGGUUGAAAAGGUUUCCUCUGUGACCAAGCCAAAGAAAGGCCUGAAAGGUUUUUUCAGCAGUAUUCGCCGUCACCGGAAGAAUAAGGUCUCUGGUGCUGAGCAAAGUGAGCCAGGAGCCAAGGGACCUGAGGAGGCCAGAGCCAGGCCUCAUGGGAACGUGAGCUCAGCCCUUCUGUCCCAUGCUGAGGAAACCCUUCAAGACCCAAGAAAGGAAAAUUCCAAACCCCAAGAUGCCCCUGGACCAAAAGUUUAUUCAGCAUCAGAGCUUUCUCCAGCAGCCACUGAGAAGACAACCUGUAAAAAUCCAGAGCAACCAAUGGGGGUCUGUGCCUCAGAACUCUUGGAGUCCAAGCCUGCCCCUGAAGCAAGUGUCCCAGAAGAGCCUCAGAGCUUAGAAACAGGGGAGAAGGUGCUGGUAGGGGAUAUAAAUCUACUCAAUGGCCCUGUUGGGGACCAACUGAGCCUCUUCUUUGGAGAUGUCACAUCCCUUAAAAGUUUUGACUCACUGACAGGUUGUGGUGACAUCAUAGCAGAGCAGGACAUGGACAGUAUGACAGACAGCAUGGCCUCUGGAGGCCAGAGGGCCAACCGAGAUGGGACCAAGCGAAGUUCUUGCCUGGUUACCUAUCAAGGAGGUGGGGAGGAGAUGGCCUUGCCAGAUGAUGAUGAUGAGGAAGAAGAGGAGGAAGAGGAUGUUGAAUUAGAGGAGGAGGAAGAAGAAGUCAAAGCAGAAGAUGAUGACUUAGAAUAUCUGUGGGCAAGUGCUCAGAUGUACCCAAGACCCAAUAUGAAUCUGGGCUACCAUCCCACCAUUUCACCAGGCCACCAGGGCUACAUGCUGUUUGACCCAGUUCGGUCUUAUCCUUGCCUAGCUCCUGGAGACCUUUUGACUCCUCAGAGUGACCAGCAAGAAUCUGCCCCCAAUAGUGAUGAGGGAUAUUAUGAUUCAACCACACCUGGAUUUGAGGAUGACUCAGGGGAGGCUCUGGGGCUUAUCCGCAGGGAUUGCCUGCCCCGAGACAGCUACAGUGGAGAUGCCCUCUAUGAAUUCUAUGAGCCAGAUGAUAGUCUUGAGAACUCCCCACCUGGGGAUGACUGCCUUUAUGACCUCCAUGGUCGCAGCUCUGAGAUAUUUGACCCCUUCUUGAACAUUGAGCCCUUUUCUUCUUCUCGGCCACCUGGGACAAUGGAGACAGAAGAGGAACGGCUAGUGACCAUACAGAAGCAGUUGUUGUAUUGGGAACUUCGGCGGGAGCAGCUCGAAGCCCAAGAGGCCCGGGAGGCACACACCAGGGAGGCCUAUACCCAAGAAACUCAUGCAAGGGAGGCUCAUGCCCGAGAAGCCCAUACCCAGGAAGCUCAUGUGAGAGUGGCCCGAGCCCGAGAGUCCUAUGCCAGGGAGGCUUGUGCCCGAGAGGCCUGUGCUAGGGAGGCCCAGGCCCGAAAGGCUCGUGAUCGAGAGGCCCAAGUCAGACAGCUCCAGGUACGGCAAGAGAAGCCCAUUAUGGAGUAUCAGAUGAGACCUUUAGGCCCAUCAGUGAUGGGCCUGGUGGUAGGGGCAUCAGGGGCUUCUCAGACUUCACACCGAGGAACCACGUCAGCUUUCCCUACCACUGCAAGCAGCGAGCCAGACUGGAGGGACUUCCGUCCUCUGGAGAAGCGUUUUGAGGGAACCUGCUCCAAGAAAGAUCAAAGUACCUGCCUGAUGCAGCUCUUCCAGAGUGAUGCUAUGUUUGAGCCAGACAUGCAAGAAGCAAAUUUUGGAGGAUCUCCCAGGAGGGCCUACCCUACUUAUUCACCCCCUGAAGAGCCAGAGGAAGAAGAGGUUGAGAAGGAAGGGAAUGCCACUGUGAGUUUCUCACAAGCCCUUGUGGAGUUCACCAGCAAUGGGAACCUCUUUUCCAGCAUGUCCUGUAGCUCUGACUCUGACUCAUCCUUUACUCAAAACCUCCCUGAGCUGCCCCCCAUGGUGACUUUUGACAUUGCUGAUGUAGAACGGGAUGGGGAAGGCAAAUGUGAAGAGAAUCCUGAAUUACACAAUGAUGAGGACCUUGCAGCCUCUUUGGAAGCUUUUGAACUGGGCUACUACCAGAAACAUGCCUUUAACAACUACCGCAGCCGAUUCUACCAAGGUCUGCCCUGGGGUGUGAGUAGUCUCCCUCGAUACUUGGGACUGCCUGGCAUGCACCCACGACCCCCACCUGCUGCCAUGGCCCUCAACAGGAGGAGUCGCUCCCUUGAUACUGCAGAGACCCUGGAGCAGGAACUAUCCAAUUCCCACCUUGCCCAGGGCUACGUGGACCCCGAUGAGCUUCAGGCUCAACAGGAAGAUUCAGAUGAAGAAGACGAGGAAGAAUGGGGCAGAGACAGCCCCUUGUCCCUCUAUACUGAACCUCCCGGGGCCUAUGACUGGCCUUCCUGGGCUCCCUGUCCUCUCCCAGUGGAGACAGCCCCUGCCUGGAUAAGUACCAGCCAGUUGGAUGGGCCUUCUAGCCAGUCUCCAUAUAGGCAAGCAGCCUGUUGCGUACCUCCUGUGGCUAUGUCAGUAUUGCUGUCAGUAUCAGAGCCAGAGUCAAGGGCAGCCGGGGAAUCUGGGCCUCAACUAGCUCGGCCUUCGCACCUACCCCUUCCCAUGGGCCCUUGUUAUAAGCUCCAGCCACAGGCCUCCCAAAGUGUAAGGGCCAGGCCUCGAGAUAAGCUUCUGUCUGCUGAUGAGCCCAGUUACUCCUCCAGUUCUGGAGGCUUCAGUUCCAGCCCUCUACCCCAGGUCAAGCCUGUGGGCAUUACCCAUGGCAUCCCUCAGCUGCCCAGGAUCCAGCCUGAACCUCUGCAUCCUCAGCCCAUUCACUAUGGGGCUUCCAGCCUUGAUCUGUCAAAGGAGAAGGCUGAGCAUUGUGCCUCUCCACCAGAAUGGAAACCUAGCUGAGCAGUCAUCAUCAAUUCUGGAGUGGGCGCAUGGGGCCUGAGCAUGGGAAUGGGGAUCAGGGAUUGGGCAGAGGGGUUUGAGGGUGGGGGUUGAAAAUCCUUUUGGCCAAGAAAAACUCCUAUGAGUUUUCACCUUCAUUUUCCCACUUCCCUCUUCUGCCAUCUGUGGCCACAUUCAGCUCAGUAUAUCUGCCCCAGGAGGGUGCUGCUGCUGUGCUCCAAUUUUUGCUUUCAGGGUUUCUUCUUGUGACCCAUGUAAGGUUUGGGAUGCUGUAAUUUUGUGCCUAUUCCAGUUGCCAAGUUAGUGAGUUUAUAUAUAGCAUGCAUCCUUGACAGAGGCUGAACCCUUAGUGCCCCCUGCCACCCCACUACCCAGUGAAUGAUGAACAGCCAGAUUUGCACUGCCUUCUAUGUGGGGACAGGGGGCUUGUUUGCUGUUAGCAAUGUGAAAUUAUGGUACAGACCCUCUCCACCCCCACUCCAUCCUGUCUUGGCAUAGCUGCCACUAUUAUAUCAAAUGACUAUAAUCUAUUUGUCCCAGCUAGCUGUCCUUAGAAAGGAUCAUGUAGCAUAUAUUUCACUGCUUACUGCUGUGGACUUUGGCAUCAUAACCAGAUGGGGCCUUUAAAUCUGGCCUGCCAUAGCUUGGGAUGAAGAAAAAAAAUGCUAAUCCCCUUAAUGGAGUGAUCAAAUUAAUCCAGUUGCAAACAGAAGACAAAAUAGGGCUUCUAUUAUAGACACUGCUGUAAGUUUUGAGCUCUGGAAUGAUAGGAUUUUUUUCUUUUUCCUCUCUUAAGCUUGUGACUUCCAAAGUUGCAGGUGCUUUUAAAUUUUGGUUCUUUUUUUCCUCCAAAGGAAAUUUUCAUAAUUUCAUCACAAAGAAUACAUUAUUUUAAUUGAGAUAUGAGAAGAGAAGCAGCCUAAAUUAGGCUUGGCUAUAGGAGUUAGGGUUUUUGCAGGUUCCAGGGGAAGGAUAGGAAAUGGAGGUCCAUUUGUCCUAUUCAGUGGGAAAGAGGAUUUCAGAUUUUGCAGAGCUCGAGGCAACCCAGCUUCUUAGAAGGGAAAAUUUCCCCCACAAAACACAAAAAGUUCCUUAUGCCUUGCCCACCCAUUCAUUUAUAUGCUGUAAAGAGGCUCUGGACAGCACUCCCAAGAACGGAUAACAAAGACAUCUAGGCUGUUGUUCUGGACUCAAGAAUUUUCAUUUUCCAAUUAUCUAAGUCCUUAGCAUCAUCAAAGGACCAGGCUUCUUGAUAGGAAAGACUGUGAUCUGCCCUCACUCUGCCAAGCUUCAGGAUGCUCAUUUAGAUGGCAGUUGCAGCCUUUUAUGGAAUGAAUGCACCCUCUUUUCUCCUGCAUCCACACAAUUCUAAUGUUAAACUAGCUUAGAAAUACUGGUGGGGAAAAGUCCUGCCAGGAAGACAUUGCAACAGGCUAAUCUUACCAGGCUCAGCCUCUCAAUCACCAAUAUGAGAGGGUUCCUUUUAAAUUUCUUUAUUGGAAAUAGCAUAUGGAACAUAUUUUGUCUGGAUGUGUUGACCCAAAUUAUGAUCCUUGCUCCUCCCAUGGCCACUCCUGUUCUUGCACUUACCCCUCCCCAUUUCCUUGCCUGUUAAGAGAAGAGGUCAACAGGGCUCCUGAGAUGGUAAUUUGGCUUGUGAAUAGAUGCCAUUGCCUUCUCCCCUCCAGUCCCAAAGGUGACUUUGCACAAAUUGCUCCUUUGCCAGGAGAUAUGUUUGUACUGGUCUUUGUCACCAUUUCUCAGAUUGGGGUUGGCCCAGUGCCCCUCCCCACAAAUCAGGCUUGGCUGGUAGUAGCUGUACCCCUAGAAGCAUCACAUAAGUUUGCAUGGCAUUAAACACUACCACACAAGGGACCCAGACCAGCUCUCUAGGCUGACUUUGCAUCAUGAAGAAAUGUAUCAGUUAUGGAGCUGGAGAGUGAAAUAGGGUGAGGAAGGCCCUCCUCACACCAAGCACAGCAUUCCAGCAGAGAAGUGCCCAAAUUCCAACCUGUCCUUUCACCAAAGUUUCCCUAGGAAGAUGGGGCUGAAAUUGACCUGACUGUUUGGCAGGAAGUAAACACUCACCAAAUGCCUUUACAAUAGGGGAAAACCCACCACUUGCCUCCUCUGUCUCUGCUUGUGCUUUAGGGCAGCUCAAGCUCUUGACUGAAUGUGGACUGUGGCAGCCACAGCAGGUAAUAGAGCCAUCACCAGCCUCCAGAACUCAAUGGGCCAUCAGCCUAUCUGGGAAGAGAAAAAUUAGGUGCUCAGCAUUUAGCCAGGGGCUGAGAGUUGCCCUCAGUGACAAGAGGGCAGCAAGAGGUGCUGCCUCUGAUGGGAGCCAUCAUAGCCCAGGCAUACAUUUCUGGGCUUUGGAAGUUUGCAUACCACAGAAUGGGGUCUAGGACUGAGUAGCAGCUUAUGGUUUGGACAUUGCUGCCUGUAAGUUUUUUCACUGUCCUGGCCAGCCCAGGGAUAGGAUCCUCACUAUAAGAAGUGGGGAAGUUAGAGGUCAUGGCUACAGAAGCAGACUCCUCUAGAAUCUCAUUCUGGGUCUAAGUAGUUCCUGGCCAAAUCCCAGCUGCAGGUUGAAGAGGAAGAAAGACCUGCUAGGGACAUGUGAUGGCAGUGCAGGGUGACCCUGGGAGAGCCAGCCAAGCUCCAGGCCUCUUCCCAAGUGCUUGUUGGCUGACACCAAAUAUGCCCUGAAUAUAGGUGUCAAUGUCAAGUCCAUACUUAGGUUGUGACCAGACAAACACCAUGUCUGCAUUGCAAGGUCUUGGGAUACUGCUUUUGGAUGAGACUUCAAGGGAAGAUAUGACUUGAGUGGAGGUGGCUGCCCUCAUCUCUCUACCCAGCAGGCUUAUUUAGUGCCAGACAGCUCUGAUCGUGAUAAUUCCCAAAAGAGACUGGUUCAUUGGGGACCAGUGACGAUAGACAAGGCCACCUAGGAGGCCUCUCCAGGGCCGUCAGUUUCUCAGUGCUUUAGCACUUUGAGGAAGCCCUGCCUUAGUGCCCAGAUAGGGUCUGCUCUGCCCAACCAGUUCAUGAGUCUCCUGGGCCAAAGGCUUUGGUCAACACUAGUCUCCCUCCUCUGUGCUAUACCAAGGAGGAAGGUAGCUUCUCACAUGCAGGGUAUGUUUUCCCAUAUCCUGCUGCCAGCGACUUACCCACCCUUGCCAAUGCCACCACCCAACCUGCCCUUGGCCAGACCCAAUUGCUAGAGGGAGGCAUGGGGGGAUUAGCAGGGAGACUUCAAGUUUACCCAUGUCAAUGUUGCUUUCAAGUUGUUUUUAAUUAUAUAUAUAUAUAUAUAUAUAUAUAUAUAUAUAUAUAUUCAAAAGUCAAUUAUCUAUUUUUGUAUUAUUUGCAUUUUUAAUCAUGGAAAACAAUGUUUAUCAGUCGUUCUUUUCUGAUUUAUUUUUAAGCGGUGCUGUUUACAUUUUUAAACAAAACAAUGAUGACACAAAAAUUGCUGCUGCUUGUGCAGAGGGCUGGCAUCUCAACUGCCCAGAGCCCUCACUCUCCCCCUCUCCCCAGCCCUGAUGUAUCGCACUGUUCAUCACCUCCUUCCAUGAUAGGGGCAACAGAAGAUGCCCAGCAAGAGGAAGGAAGAGGAAGAGAGAGAAAUUUCAAUGUGAGAGUGGAAAUCCCCUACAAUCCCCAGCAAGUCCCCUACCAGGGAUCGAGCUUGCAACCUGGCCAUAUGUCCUGACCAGGAAUUGAAUCAGCAACCUUUCGGUGAACGAGAUGACACCCAGUCAACUGAGCCACACUGGCCAGGGCUAUUUUAUUUAUUUUAUUUUUCUAAUUGAAUUUAUUUGGGUGGCAUUGCUUAAUAAAACUAUGUAGGUUUAAGGUAUACAAUUCUAUAAUACAUUGUUGGUAUGUUGCAUUGUGUGUUCACCACCCCAAGUCGUAUUUCUCUCCAUCACCAUUUAUCCCCCUUUCCCCUCUCCUGCCUCCUCAAACCACCCCCUUCCCUCUGGUAAUGAUCAUACUGUUGUAUGUGUAUGAGGUUUUGUUUCUCCUUAAUCCCUUCACUUUUUCACCCAGCACUCCCUACCCCUUGACCUCUGGCUCCAAAUUUCUCAUCCUAACAGGAAAGCAGAAAAUUCUAUGUUAUUUAUGACUGGGAUCUCCUAAGAGUGGCACUGGAAUCUAGGGAGUGCUUGUGCUACUCAGAAAUUAGGGCAAAGACAACUAAUAUUUAUAACAGUCACCAUUGAGAUUCUCAUUUUCCAUGCCGUCAGUAUGGGAGGAAAAGCUGAAAGCCAUGAUGACUUAGAUUUUGCCUCCCUCUGGGUACAUUAGAGCCAUCUCCUCUCCAUCUUUGAAGCACUUCUGUGAGUAGAGCUUGAGUUCCUUCUGCCCUACACUCAAGAGCUCUUCCUUUCCAGAUGGGGCUGGGAAUGUUGGGAAUCUCUCUUCAUUUUCUCUCUCAGGCCUUUCCAAAGGCUCAUUCUUUUUCUUUAUGACAGUAUCUUCUCAGUGGGGAUUUCAGGUUUUUAUAAAAGAAUGAUAGAUUCAGUGGCGUCAGCCUGCUUCUGUUUUUCUACACUGAAAUCCCUCUUGCAAGAAGUCUAUCAAGAGUCUGGUUAUUUCCAUGGAGCAAAAGAAUGGGGGCAGAGCAUAGAUGGACAACAAGCACAAACAAACAUGAACACUUACAGAAAUUACACCACCACAAAAAUACUGCCUAUUAAAUGAUUUCACUGUCCUAGAUUUCAGGACACCAAAAUCCUAGUCCCUGAUUUGCCUGUAACUGAUGAAAAAACAGGUAAUUUCGUAGAGCUUCAGUUUCUUCACCUAUAAAUGAGAAGGUUGGAGAACAUAGAAUCUCAGGCUUAAAUCCUUUUUAGAUCCUCCCCCUUUGAUGCUUACAUUAGUCCUAUGCUGUCUGUCUUGUUCCUGCUUGCCUUCACUGGCAUAAGAUAUCUCUUCUUACAUUGAGCUGCAAUUAGCCUAGCUUAGUCCCUGGGAACCACAUAGAUUUUGUCUGCUGUCUACACUCUUUGCCCUAUAACAGCCCUUUUGGAUACGACAGGAGAGAUAUUCUGUGACUUAACAAAUAUUAAGUACAUUUAUAUGCCAGGUUAUUUUCUAGUUGCUGAGGGUGCAGCAGUGAACAAGAGAGAUAAAAACCCUAUACUCAUUAGGAUUAUUUUCGGAGGGCAGAUAAUAACCAAAAUAAAUCAGUAAAAGACAUAGUAUGUCAGAUAGUGAUGGUACAACGGGGAAAAAUGAAGGAAGGAGAGACAGAAGAUUGCAACUUAAAAUAGAGUGGUCAAUCAUAUUAAUUCUUCCUAUCCAUGGACAUGGUGUAUGCUUUCGCUUCUUUGUGUCUUCUUCAAUUUCUUUCUUCAGUGUCUUGUAAUUUUCCAAGUACAGGUCCUUUACAUUACCUGGUUAAAUUUAUUCCCAGGUAUAUUUUGAAGCGAUUAUAAAUGGGAUUGUUUACUUAGUUUUCCUUUCUGAUAGUUCAUUAUUGGUGUAUAAAAAUGCAACUGAUUUCUGAAUAUUUAUUUUGUACCUUGUUACUUUACUGAGUUCAUUGAUCAGUUCUAGCAGUUUUUUGUUUUGUUUUGUUUUUGUUUUUUGUGUGAAAUCUUUAGGGUUCUCUAUAUACAGUAUCAUGUCACCUGCAUAUAAUGACAGUUUUACUUCUUCCUUUCCAAUUUGGAUGCCUUUUAUUUCUUUUUCUUGUCUGAUUGCUGUGGCUAGGACUUCCAGUACUAGGCUGAAUAAGAGUGAUGAAAGCAGACAUCCCUUUUUGUUCCCAAUCUUAAGAGAAAUGCUUGUAAUUUUUGCCCAUCAAGUAUGAUGUUGGCUGUGGGUUUGUCAUAUAUGACAUUUGUUAUAUUGAGGUAUGUUCCCUCUAUUCCCCCUUU